UACAGGAGGGUGCAAGCGUUGUUCGGAAUUAUUGGGCGUAAAGCGCGUGUAGGCGGCAUGGCAAGUCGGGUGUGAAAGCCCUCGAGCUUAACCUGAGGAAGUGCGCCCGAAACUGCCGUGCUUGAGUGCCGGAGAGGGUAGGCGGAAUUCCCCAAGUAGAGGUGAAAUUCGUAGAUAUGGGGAGGAACACCGGUGGGCGAAGGCGG
rnacentral:rRNA from 1 species